GUGCCAGCAGCCGCGGUAAAUACGAAGGGUGCAAGCGUUACUCGGAAUUACUGGGCGUAAAGGCGUGCGUAGGUGGUUGUUUUAAGUCUGUUGUGAAAGCCCUGGGCUCAACCUGGGAAUUGCAGUGGAUACCUGGGCAACUUAGAGUGUGGUAGAGGGUAGUGGAAUUCCCGGUGUAGCAGUGAAAUGCGUAGAGAUCGGGAGGAACAUCCAUGGCGAAGGCAGCUACCUGGACCAACACUGACACUGAGGCACGAAAGCGUGGGGAGCAAACAGGAUUAGAUACCCUGGUAGUCC
rnacentral:rRNA from 1 species